rnacentral:misc_RNA from 1 species
UCCGAGUUGACCCCGGCAGUCUCCCACGAGUCCCCGCCAUUACGCGCUGGCAACAUAGGAUAAGGGUUGCGCUCGUUGCGGGACUUAACCCAACACCUCACGGCACGAGCUGACGACAACCAUGCAGCACCUGUCCUGGUGCCCCGAAGGGGGCCCCCUGUUUCCAGAGGGUUUCACCAGGAUGUCAAACCCAGGUAAGGUUCUUCGCGUUGCUUCGAAUUAAACCACAUGCUCCACCGCUUGUGCGGGCCCCCGUCAAUUCCUUUGAGUUUCAGCCUUGCGGCCGUACUCCCCAGGCGGGGCACUUAACGCGUUAGCUGCGGCACCGAAGGGGUCGUUCCCCCCGGCACCUAGUGCCCAUCGUUUACGGCGUGGACUAC